rnacentral:tRNA from 1 species
GGCCGAGUGGCGGAAUUGGCAGACGCUCAGGAUUUAAAAUCCUGUGUCCGUUAGGACGUGCGGGUUCGAGUCCCGCCUCGGCUACCA